rnacentral:rRNA from 1 species
UACGGAGGAUGCAAGCGUUGUCCGGAAUCAUUGGGCGUAAAGAGCGUGUAGGCGGCCCGGUAAGUCCGCUGUGAAAGUCGGGGGCUCAACCCUCGAAUGCCGGUGGAUACUGUCGGGCUAGAGUGCGGAAGAGGCGAGUGGAAUUCCUGGUGUAGCGGUGAAAUGCGUAGAGAUCAGCAGGAACACCCGUGGCGAAGGCGGCGUGCUGGACCACAUCUGACGCUGAGGCGCGAAAGCCAGGGGAGCAAACGGG